GCAAGGUAGAGGCAGCGGAAAAACGGAGAGGAGAGCGAGAGAGCAGAGGAGCGCGAGAAAGCAGGACCGACGCCCGCCCGGAGGAUCACGUACCUUUAGCUCCUCAAUGUCCAGCCAGCGCUAAGGGGAUUUCUCGUCUGUCAAAAAGCAACAUUUCCUCUCCAGACAAAUACUGAGCUGCUGGGUCUUAAAGACUGCCCUCUGCCCGGAGUCCAAUGAUGUUUUGUUUACUAUAUUUACUAGGAUUCACUGUUUUUAAAGGAAAAUUACAUUUUCAGCUCUAAAGUUUUUUAAUAUCAGUGAAAAUAUUUUCCUUAAGAAACAAUUGAGAAUGAUAAUGUUUAUAAUGUGUACAUGAUUCAUUAUGUGGAAAGCCCCGAGGUUGCUAUUUACCAUGCUGUGACUAUGAUUUUAGGUAUUCUUAUUCAUUAAACUCAAAAAAUGUAUAAUCAAUAGUAAUAUCCAAAGAGGAUCAUUUUAAAAUUAAAGUGAAAUCAAGACCUUUUGUUCAUUUACUAAAUGACUCUCCC
rnacentral:lncRNA from 1 species